rnacentral:rRNA from 1 species
UACGUAGGGGGCAAGCGUUGUCCGGAUUUAUUGGGCGUAAAGAGCUCGUAGGCGGCUCGGUAAGUCGGAUGUGAAACCUCCAGGCUCAACCUGGAGACGCCAUCUGAUACUGCCGUGGCUUGAGUCCGGUAGAGGAGCAGGGAAUUCCUGGUGUAGCGGUGAAAUGCGCAGAUAUCAGGAAGAACACCCGUGGCGAAGGCGGUUCUCUGGGACGGUACUGACGCUGAGACGCGAAAGCGUGGGGAGCGAACAGG